rnacentral:rRNA from 1 species
GACGAACGCUGGCGGCGUGCUUAACACAUGCAAGUCGAACGGGCCUGUCUUCUUUUUUGGGGGGUGGGUUGAGUGGCGAACGGGUGAGUAUCACGUGAGUAACCUGCCCUUCGGUCCUGGAUAACCGCUUGAAAGGGCGGCUAAUACGGGGUGGUCCGGUUGGUCCGCAUGGGCUGGUCGGGAUAGAUUCACUGUUUUUGGUGUUUCGGCGGGGGAUGGGCUCGCGGCCUAUCAGCUUGUUGGUGGGGUGAUGGCCUACCAAGGCGGUGACGGGUAGCCGGCCUGAGGGGGUGGGCGGCCACACUGGGACUGAGAUACGGCCCAGACUCCUGCGGGAGGCAGCAGUGGGGGGUAUUGCACAAUGGGCGGAAGCCUGAUGCAGCGACGUCGCGUGAGGGAUGGAGGCCUUCGGGUUGUGAACCUCUGUUUCCGGUGGUGAAGGCCCUGUCCGUGUGGUGGGGUUGACGGUAGCCGGGGAUGAAGCGCCGGCUAACUACGUG